rnacentral:lncRNA from 1 species
CUAACCAAAAUCUUAAUUAGAAUCCUAAUUAAUUUUAAUAAAAUCUUAGAUUAAAUUCUAAUUAAAUCUUAAUUAAAUUCUAAUAAAAAUCCUAAUUAAAAUUUUGAUGAAUCUUAAUCAAAUCCUAAUAAAAUUCUAAAUCCAAAUCAAAUUUUAAAUCCAAGACCAAUCCUAAUAAAAUCCUAAAUCAAAUCCUAAUAAAAUCCUCAAUCCUAAACAAAUUCUGAAUAAAUCCUAUAAUAGAU